rnacentral:rRNA from 1 species
UACAGAGACUGCGAGCGUUAUUCGGAUUCACUGGGCGUAAAGGGUGCGCAGGCGGCCAAGUGUGUGAGGCGUGAAAGCCCGGGGCUUAACCCCGGAAUUGCACCUCAAACUACAUGGCUAGAGCAUUGGAGAGGGUAGCGGAAUUCACGGUGUAGCAGUGAAAUGCGUAGAUAUCGUGAGGAACACCAGAGGCGAAGGCGGCUACCUGGACAGAAACUGACGCUGAGGCGCGAAAGCUAGGGGAGCAAACAGG